ncrna:unclassified sequences 6A RNA
AAGAUUUCUCGUAGAGCCACGAGAAGUAAAUUAAAGAAAGCUCACUGAGA